UUCCGGCUACUUGACUCAAGGACCUUUCGAGAAACGGAAGACGGUGGGAAUCCGUCGCAGUCGCGCUGCUGUAUUCGGGGUCAGCCGGCCAUCGUCCACUGGGGUUUCCCGGGAAGGACGCGGCCACAGGCCACGGUCUAACGACCAGCCCCGUAAGCCAGAAGACGCCUCGAAAACGGUCGGCAUUC
rnacentral:ncRNA from 15 species